rnacentral:rRNA from 1 species
AUUGAACGCUGGCGGCAGGCCUAACACAUGCAAGUCGAGCGGAUGAAGGGAGCUUGCUCCUGGAUUCAGCGGCGGACGGGCGAGUAAUGCCUAGGAAUCUGCCUGGUAGUGGGGGAUAACGUCCGGAAACGGGCGCUAAUACCGCAUACGUCCUGAGGGAGAAAGUGGGGGAUCUUCGGACCUCACGCUAUCAGAUGAGCCUAGGUCGGAUUAGCUAGUUGGUGGGGUAAAGGCCUACCAAGGCGACGAUCCGUAACUGGUCUGAGAGGAUGAUCAGUCACACUGGAACUUAGACACGGUCCAGACUCCUACGGGAGGCAGCAGUGGGGAAUAUUGGACAAUGGUCGAAAGCCUGAUCCAGCCAUGCCGCGUGUGUGAAGAAGGUCUUCGGAUUGUAAAGCACUUUAAGUUGGGAUGAAGGGCAGUAAGUUAAUACCUUGCUGUUUUGACGUUACCAACAGAAUAAGCACCGGCUAACUUCGUG